UGAGCUCGCACCAAAGGUGGCGGUUAUUCUUUUCCUCCUCCUUCAGCCUCUCCUUCAAGUGCUUCACUAUUGAUAAAACCUCUUGAAGGUUAGCUUGAGGCACGAUCAGCUUCGGAGUCAUUUGGAUUCCAUUGGAGGUAGAACUCUCACUCCUCCGAGGCAUCCUCCCUUUGUGGCUUGCUUCACUUGAAGUCCUAAUCCUUUUAGGUGAACUCCUGCUGAGA
rnacentral:lncRNA from 1 species